ACCUGCCCCUCGCAGGGGGAUAACCGGGGGAAACCCCGGCUAAUACCCCGUACGCUUGCUGGGGCGCAUGCUCCGGCAAGGAAAGGUAGCUUCGGCCAUCCGGCGAGGGAGGGGCCCGCGGCCCAUUAGCUAGUUGGUGGGGUAACGGCCCACCAAGGCGACGAUGGGUAGCUGGCCUGAGAGGGUGGUCAGCCACACUGGGACUGAGACACGGCCCAGACUCCUACGGGAGGCAGCAGCCAGGAAUCUUGCGCAAUGGGCGAAAGCCUGACGCAGCAACGCCGCGUGGGCGAUGAAGGCCUUCGGGUCGUAAAGCCCUGUUGUCGGGGACGAAGGGCGAAGGGUUAAUAGCCCCUAGCCUGACGGUACCCGACGAGGAAGCCCCGGCUAACUACGUGCCAGCAGCCGCGGUAAUACGUAGGGGGCGAGCGUUGUCCGGAAUCAUUGGGCGUAAAGAGCGUGUAGGCGGCCCGGUAAGUCCGCUGUGAAAACCCGGGGCUCAACCCCGGGCGUGCAGUGGAAACUGCCGGGCUAGAGGGCGGCAGAGGCGAGUGGAAUUCCCGGUGUAGCGGUGAAAUGCGCAGAUAUCGGGAGGAACACCGGUAGCGAAGGCGGCUCGCUGGGCCGUUCCUGACGCUGAGACGCGAAAGCUAGGGGAGCGAACAGGAUUAGAUACCCUGGUAGUCCUAGCCGUAAACGAUGGGCACUAGGUGUGGGGGGGAGUCGAAUCCCUCCGUGCCGCAGCCAACGCGUUAAGUGCCCCGCCUGGGGGAGUACGGCCGCAAGGCUAAAACUCAAAAGAAUUGACGGGGGCCCGCACAAGCAGCGGAGCAUGUUCUUUAAUUCGAUGCAACGCGAAAAACCUUACCUACCCUUGACAUGCCAGGAACCUGCUUAAAA
rnacentral:rRNA from 1 species